rnacentral:rRNA from 1 species
UGAGGAGGAAGACGCAGUGAACUGAAACAUCUAAGUAGCUGCAGGAAGAGAAAGCAAAAGCGAUUGCCUUAGUAGCGGCGAGCGAAACGGCAGGAGGGCAAACCGAAGAGUUUACUCUUCGGGGUUGUAGGACUGCAAUGUGGACUCAAAGAUUAUAGAAGAAUGAUUUGGGAAGAUCAGCCAAAGAGAGUAAUAGCCUCGUAUUUUAAAUAGUCUUUGUACCUAGCAGUAUCCUGAGUACGGCGGGACACGUGAAAUCCCGUCGGAAUCUGGGAGGACCAUCUCCCAACCCUAAAUACUCCCUAGUGACCGAUAGUGAACCAGUACCGUGAGGGAAAGGUGAAAAGCACCCCGGGAGGGGAGUGAAAUAGAACCUGAAACCGUGUGCCUACAACAAGUUCGAGCCCGUUAAUGGGUGAGAGCGUGCCUUUUGUAGAAUGAACCGGCGAGUUACGUUAUGAUGCGAGGUUAAGUUGAAGAGACGGAGCCGUAGGGAAACCGAGUCUGAAUAGGGCGCCUUAGUAUCAUGACGUAGACCCGAAACCAUGUGACCUACCCAUGAGCAGGUUGAAGGUGCGGUAAGACGCACUGGAGGACCGAACCAGGGCACGUUGAAAAGUGCUUGGAUGACUUGUGGGUAGCGGAGAAAUUCCAAACGAACUUGGAGAUAGCUGGUUCUCUCCGAAAUAGCUUUAGGGCUAGCGUCGACAUUAGAGAUUCUUGGAGGUAGAGCACUGUUUGGGUGAGGGGUCCAUCCCGGAUUACCAAUCUCAGAUAAACUCCGAAUGCCAAUGAAUUAUGGUCGGCAGUCAGACUGCGAGUGCUAAGAUCCGUAGUCGAAAGGGAAACAGCCCAGACCACCAGCUAAGGUCCCAAAAUAAUUGUUAAGUGGAAAAGGAUGUGGGGUUGCACAGACAACUAGGAUGUUAGCUUAGAAGCAGCUAUUCAUUCAAAGAGUGCGUAAUAGCUCACUAGUCGAGUGACCCUGCGCCGAAAAUGUACCGGGGCUAAAACAAUUUACCGAAGCUGUGGAUACCUUUAUAGGUAUGGUAGGAGAGCGUUCUAUGUGUGAUGAAGGUAUACCGUGAGGAGUGCUGGAACGCAUAGAAGUGAGAAUGCCGGUAUGAGUAGCGAAAGACAGGUGAGAAUCCUGUCCACCGUAAGACUAAGGUUUCCAGGGGAAGGCUCGUCCGCCCUGGGUUAGUCGGGACCUAAGGAGAGACCGAAAGGUGUAUCCGAUGGACAACAGGUUGAUAUUCCUGUACUAGAGUAUGUAGUGAUGGAGGGACGCAGUAGGCUAACUAAAGCAGACGAUUGGAAGAGUCUGUCUAAGCAGUGAGGUGUGAAUUGAGUCAAAUGCUUAAUUCUAUAACAUUGAGCUGUGAUGGGGAGCGAAGUUUAGUAGCGAAGUUAGUGACGUCACACUGCCAAGAAAAGCUUCUAGCGUUUAAACAUACUCUACCCGUACCGCAAACCGACACAGGUAGUCGAGGCGAGUAGCCUCAGGUGAGCGAGAGAACUCUCGUUAAGGAACUCGGCAAAAUGACCCCGUAACUUCGGGAGAAGGGGUGCUGACUUUAAGUCAGCCGCAGUGAAUAGGCCCAAGCAACUGUUUAUCAAAAACACAGCUCUCUGCUAAAUCGUAAGAUGAUGUAUAGGGGGUGACGCCUGCCCGGUGCUGGAAGGUUAAGAGGAGUGCUUAGCGUAAGCGAAGGUAUGAAUUGAAGCCCCAGUAAACGGCGGCCGUAACUAUAACGGUCCUAAGGUAGCGAAAUUCCUUGUCGGGUAAGUUCCGACCCGCACGAAAGGCGUAAUGAUUUGGGCACUGUCUCAACGAGAGACUCGGUGAAAUUUUAGUACCUGUGAAGAUGCAGGUUACCCGCGACAGGACGGAAAGACCCCAUGGAGCUUUACUGCAGUUUGAUAUUGAGUGUCUGUACCACAUGUACAGGAUAGGUAGGAGUCUAAGAGAUCGGGACGCCAGUUUCGAAGGAGACGCUGUUGGGAUACUACCCUUGUGUUAUGGCCACUCUAACCCAGAUAGGUGAUCCCUAUCGGAGACAGUGUCUGACGGGCAGUUUGACUGGGGCGGUCGCCUCCUAAAAGGUAACGGAGGCGCCCAAAGGUUCCCUCAGAAUGGUUGGAAAUCAUUCGCAGAGUGUAAAGGUAUAAGGGAGCUUGACUGCGAGAGCUACAACUCGAGCAGGGACGAAAGUCGGGCUUAGUGAUCCGGUGGUUCCGUAUGGAAGGGCCAUCGCUCAACGGAUAAAAGCUACCCUGGGGAUAACAGGCUUAUCUCCCCCAAGAGUUCACAUCGACGGGGAGGUUUGGCACCUCGAUGUCGGCUCGUCGCAUCCUGGGGCUGUAGUCGGUCCCAAGGGUUGGGCUGUUCGCCCAUUAAAGCGGCACGCGAGCUGGGUUCAGAACGUCGUGAGACAGUUCGGUCCCUAUCCGUCGCGGGCGUAGGAAAUUUGAGAGGAUCUGCUCCUAGUACGAGAGGACCAGAGUGGACUUACCGCUGGUGUACCAGUUGUCUUGCCAAAGGCAUCGCUGGGUAGCUAUGUAGGGAAGGGAUAAACGCUGAAAGCAUCUAAGUGUGAAACCCACCUCAAGAUGAGAUUUCCCAU